GCCAGGCAUGGUGGUGUGUGCCUGUAAUCCCAGCUACUCAGGAGGCUGAGGCACGAGAAUCACUUGAACCCAGGGGGUUAAGGUUGCAGUGAGCCGAGGUCACGCCACUGCACUCCAGCCUGGGUGACAAAGUGAGACCCUGUCUCAA
rnacentral:SRP_RNA from 2 species